CGGAGGGUGCAAGCGUUAUCCGGAUUUACUGGGUUUAAAGGGUGUGUAGGCGGGCUAUUAAGUCUGGGGUGAAAUCUCCGAGCUCAACUCGGAAACUGCCUUGGAUACUAUUAGUCUUGAAUUAUGUUGAGGUUGGCGGAAUAUAACAUGUAGCGGUGAAAUGCAUAGAUAUGUUAUAGAACACCGAUUGCGAAGGCAGCUAACUAAGCAUAUAUUGACGCUGAGGCACGAAAGCGUGGGGAUCAAACAGGAUUAGAUACCCUGGUAGUCCACGCCCUAAACGAUGAUUACUCGUCAUUUGCGAUACACAGUGAGUGACCAAGCGAAAGCGUUAAGUAAUCCACCUGGGAAGUACGUCCGCAAGGAUG
rnacentral:rRNA from 1 species